GACGAACGCUGGCGGCGUGGAUUAGGCAUGCAAGUCGGACGGUAGGGCUUUAUCGUAAGAUAGAGUUUGAGAGUGGCGAACGGGUGAGUAACACGUAGGAAUCUACCCUUAAGACGGGGACAACCCAGGGAAACUUGGGCUAAUACCGGAUGAGAGUGCGAGAGAUUGCAUUUAAAAGGAUGGCGAAAGUUGUCGCUUAGGGAUGAGCCUGCGGUCUAUUAGUUAGUUGGUGAGGUAAGAGCUCACCAAGGCGACGAUAGAUAGGCGGCCUUAACGGGUGGUCGCCCACACUGGGAUUGAGAUACGGCCCAGACUCCUACGGGAGGCAGCAGUCGAGAAUAGUCUACAAUGGUCGGAAGACUGAUAGUGCGACGCCGCGUGAACGAUGAAUCCCUUCGGGGUGUAAAGUUCUUUUAUAUGUGAGCAGUGCUUCUUAUAUUAACAGUAUGGGGAGAGAGAUAUUAGCAUAUGAAUAAGCAACGGCUAACUCCGUG
rnacentral:rRNA from 1 species